CAACCAUAGUUGCCAAUUCAGCUUAUAACAAGCGGAAUUGGGCUUGUUUUUUCUUCUGGUUGCUUAUUUUUUUGGGUGGUUGCUUGUUGCUUGUUUUUGGGCUUAUAUUUUUUUAUGCUGCUUGUUUUUGGGCUUCUUUUGUUUUUAGGUAUCACUGACACCGACUUUUAGAGAUAAUUAGUCAUUCAUCCAUAUAACACAGAUCCUCACACAGACAUACUGUAGAGUUGGCAACACUGCUAGCAACAGGUAUGCAGCACAGGGACGCCACAGAUCCUCUAUAGCACAGAAUUUCAGGAAUUUUGAAAUGGAGAAUGUUCGCUAUUUGAGGCGGGGGAGUUUAGUUGCCUCAGCCAGCUUUAAUCACAACAUCCUGGACAAAGGACAUGACUUGCAAGAUCCGACGUUGGAUGCAUCUAGGCAGAAAGCAGUGUUCCUCGACAGCCUAUAAUAGUGCAAUUGAAGUUGAAUGGCAUUCCACCUUUGAGAAGAGCAAGAUUGUCUCUACUUCAGGGGAGGACCUGGUAUCAUUUGAGGGAAGGACCAGUGUUAUACCAAUUAAGGGGGAGGGGUUCCGAUCAAUUCGGUUUGUGAUGGGGUGGUUUUCUCAACUUAAUUUAUUUAAAUAUCAUUAUUAGGCUGUUGCCGAGGUCACCUUGCAUUUCUUAAUUACUCUUAUUCUUAAUACUUUCUUAAUUUCUAUAUUAAUAAUUCAGUACAUAAAUUUGUCUGUGAUUUCUUUAAUCGCAUUACAGUUGUCCAUAUCAUUAUUUUCAGUUAGUUGUUAAGUUAGCUUUUCAUGGAAUAAUAAAAACAUUGAGUUACUUAAAAUACUAUGCAAAAGUUUUAAGCAGGUGUCGAAAGAACUGCUCCAAAGUAAGAAAUCUUUUAGAAAUACAAGUGUUAAUAAUUUAUUUUCAUCAAUUAACAAAAUGCAAAGUGACUGAA